GGGAUUAGUGGCGGACGGGUGAGUAACACGUGGGAACGUGCCUUUUGGUUCGGAACAACUCAGGGAAACUUGAGCUAAUACCGAAUGUGCCCUUCGGGGGAAAGAUUUAUCGCCAUUAGAGCGGCCCGCGUCUGAUUAGCUAGUUGGUGAGGUAACGGCCCACCAAGGCGACGAUCAGUAGCUGGUCUGAGAGGAUGAUCAGCCACACUGGGACUGAGACACGGCCCAG
rnacentral:rRNA from 1 species